rnacentral:rRNA from 1 species
GCAGUGGGGAAUAUUGCACAAUGGGCGCAAGCCUGAUGCAGCCAUGCCGCGUGUGUGAAGAAGGCCUUCGGGUUGUAAAGCACUUUCAGUCGUGAGGAAGGUGGUAGUGUUAAUAGCACUAUCAUUUGACGUUAGCGACAGAAGAAGCACCGGCUAACUCCGUGCCAGCAGCCGCGGUAAUACGGAGGGUGCGAGCGUUAAUCGGAAUUACUGGGCGUAAAGCGCAUGCAGGUGGUUUGUUAAGUCAGAUGUGAAAGCCCGGGGCUCAACCUCGGAACUGCAUUUGAAACUGGCAGACUAGAGUACUGUAGAGGGGGGUAGAAUUUCAGGUGUAGCGGUGAAAUGCGUAGAGAUCUGAAGGAAUACCGGUGGCGAAGGCGGCCCCCUGGACAGAUACUGACACUCAGAUGCGAAAGCGUGGGGAGCAAACAGGAUUAGAUACCCUGGUAGUCCACGCUGUAAACGAUGUCUACUUGGAGGUUGUGGCCUUGAGCCGUGGCUUUCGGAGCUAACGCGUUAAGUAGA